CCAUCUCUAGUUUAUAUGGAGAAUUAACUCCCUACAGACACCGAUUGUAUACUGUACAAAGCGUUGAGGAUUUUACAUGUUACAGUCAUCUAAUGUUCA